rnacentral:tRNA from 1 species
GGUGAGUUGGCUCAGCGGUUAGAGCUUAGUUCUUGUAACCGAAAGAUCGCGGGAUCGAAUCCCGCUACAGGCUG